UUUUCUUUUCUGUUGUUUCUCUUUUGUGUUUCGUCUCUGCACCUCUUCUUCUCCACCUGCCCGUGCCUCUUCCUCCAAUUCUUCUCCUCAUUCUUCUCCAACUCCUCCCUUUUCUUUUCUCCUCCCUUUCUUCUCUCACUCUCUUCCUCUCGGUCGCACCCCCCUUCUUCUCGGCCACUCCUCCUUUUCUCCUCCUUCGUGUCGUCCAAGCUCCUCCUCCCCCUUCUCUUCCUCCUCUUCUUAUUUUUCUUCCUUUCUCCUCCUUUUCCUUCUUUCUUAUCCUCCUUCCUUAUCCUCCUAGUCCCAUCCCAGAUUUGUCCAAACCGAAGCUGCGAGGGGACUUUUGAUUUUGGGACAAACUAAGAUUAUUGAAGAGGGGAGUUUAGGGUUUAAAGAAGCUGUAAUCUGAAGUGCAAGAGCAUGCAUUAGGUAUCACCUCAGUGAAUGAGAAGGUCAUCAUCCCAAGAUAGUCGAAGAAUAUUUUAUGCAAAUUGUUAGCUCUCACCUUGAGUCAAUGUUAUCUUGGGUUCAAGGUAAAUCCUAAAAAAUGCCAUAAGUUAUUGAGAUGUUGGAUAAGUAUGGGUUCGUUGGUAAGAACAAGUACAAGACUGCUAAAGUAAUUUGUGAAGAUUUUGUAAAGGUUGAGUUAUUGUUCAAUUUGAAUCCCUCUGAUGUUGAAGAUUGUGUGCUCAAUUGCUUAGAAUAGUAUGCUUGUGAUGUUGGAUUUGAUGAAUAUAUUUUUACUUGUCUCACUUU